rnacentral:rRNA from 1 species
UACGAAGGUGGCAAGCGUUAUUCGGAAUUACUGGGCAUAAAGGGCCGCAGGCGGCCCGGCAAGUUGAUGGUGAAAUCCCCCGGCUCAACUGGGGAACGGCCGUCAAUACUACCGGGCUCGAGGUGUUGGAGGGGUGAGUGGAAUUCCUGGUGGAGCGGUGGAAUGCGUAGAUAUCAGGAGGAACGCCGGAGGCGAAAGCGACUCACUGGAC